UAUGAUUUGGUUUCCUUGUCACGUUGACUUUGAGUCACGGCGAGCAUGCGUGAGCCGCUGUGUGAGCUGCUUCACACUGCGUCUGCUGAUAUGUUCAUUGAGAGGGCUGCCUGUAGAGAUAAGAGGCUGAAAAUGGGCAAGGCGUAAACAGCUUCAGACCUAAAGCUGCAAACAACUGCAUCUCAAACCCAUGUUGCUGUGUUCAAAAAUAAAACAAAAGGGGUUUUGGCACCACACCGUCAGUGGGAGCUGCCAGACCAUAAGUGUAGUCUCAUUGGCUCCAGAGGAAGUAGAAGAGGAGGAGCCAGCCGCAUUGAGUCUGCGGAAUCCUCUUCCUCCUGAUAUAACGGCGAAUGACAUGACCCUUUCUCUCCGUGUUCCAUCUUUUGUGGAAGGUCCUGGUCCCCUGACCCAAACCUCGGGGUCAUCACUCAGCUCAUAGAUAGAACCAUCCUCCGUAGUGUGCUCCAGAGACUCCUGGGAGGAAUUGGAUACCUCUUCAGGCUGAGCGGUCAGAAGCUUGCCAGGGAGCUGGGAGGUGGAGCGGAGGUGGUAUUGAAGCAGCACCCCUUUGGGUUUGGCUUCUUUCUGAGACAAACCUUCUAUCUGCUGCUGUUGUAGUGAUUCCUGAGAUGAGUGGCUCAGGUCUUCUCCUCCACUACCUGAAUCAGUCCCAUCAGCCAGAGAGUCCCGCUUCAACAGGUCAGGGGACAAAGUACUGGACGUGGCCACAAGGAUGUCCACAGGGCCGCUGUGAGCGUUGAGCGAGGUCAUCGCUUUGCCUGGAGAAGACAGAGAGGAUUGAAGUGAGAUUACAUUCAGACUUAUUAACACCAGGCUGAGCUCAUGGAUACUCACCUGUUAUUUUCGGGAUGCCCUCCAGCUUAGGCACUGGCAGGGUGAUGAUCAUACCCUGGGCCGUGCCCACCCACAGGAGACCCUGGCAGAUGAGCAGGCUAGUGACACACACAGUCUGACCUUUAAGAGAACAAACGGCUACGGUGUCAUUGCGGUGGUUUUUUUUUCACCUUUAUUUUUAUUCAGUUUUGCAUCCAUUUCAAGAGAAACACAGGUAAGGUAGAGAAAAAAAGACUAAGGGAAAAAGGGUGGGGGGACAAUGUCUGUCUAGAACUUAAUCUUCCAUUUUUACAGACACUACAUCAAGAAGCUCAGAAAUAGUGAUCAUAUUACAUACAUCAAGAAUCACAAAGGGUAACAUAGCACAUCAAGACUCCCUCAUUUCUAAAUUUCGUUUACAAUUUCAAUCCAUUGCAUUUUUGUUGGGGGUUCCUGUUGCAUCCACCUUCUUGUUAUGGCCUUUUUACUAGCUACCAGUAGUAUUUUAAGUAAGUAUUUAUUAUUUUUCCCCACUAGUUGAAGCACUUUACCGAGGUAAAGGUACAACCAUGAAAGCACAAUUAUAAUUCCAAAUAUAUCCUCUAUUACUUUUCUAUUAUCUCCCUCCAGUACAAUUCAAUUAUUGGGCAUCCCCAAAAUAUAUGGAAGUGGUCAGCCAUGUGGGCGCCACACUGUCGCCAGCAUAGCCCCUGAAUAUGCCGUUUAUCUAGUAGUGCUUUUCUUUUAGAGGUAUAGAAAAACCUGACCAGACAUUUCCAGUUGAAGUCGUUGCAGUGUUUUAAAAGUCUGCCAUCAACUGUAAGGAACAGAUUGUUAAAGGUUUUAAUCAGAUCUGCAAUGUGGUAAUAGUGGAAUGUUUUAGUUAACCUUUCUAUAUUGACAUUUAAAUAUAAAAUGCAGGCAUUUCUCUAUGGCA